CUCUAGCUCCCAGCAGCUGCGGGCGUGGGGCAGCGCCGGGUGCACGCCUGGGAGCCGCUGGAUCCGGCUGCGCUCGCCUCCGCCGGCUUUCAGGCCAGCCCCGCAGACCCUGUUUGCUGCUGCUGUUUCCAUGGAACAUCACUCCUAGCAAUACUGCUUGCCUGAACACUGCUGUCAACACCCGGCAUCAUCAUCCCCUGCCAAGACCAGGAACAGCACUUAGGGUUAAGUUGCAAUUCAGUUACAAGCACCAAGUAGAAGACCACACAUAGUUGUGCUGCCCAAACACCAAUCCAGAAAACGGAAUGUGACUGCUUCAGGGGAGAUGUACUUCGCAACAGUGCUGUGCUGCAGCAUGUCCAUCAGCACAACUAUUAGGUCUCCGUGCCCCACUCCUUCACCUGCCUGGGAGAGAGUAGUAGCUUUACAAAGGUCGCUUCCCUCCCUCCUCCUCUUCUCUUUCCCUCCCUCCCCACACCGCCCUCGCCGCUUGUUGUUCAUAAACAGAGUAAGGAAGUAAGGGGAUGCAAAACUGGCAAACCAAAUGCCAGCUCUGGCCAAGG